rnacentral:piRNA from 1 species
UAGGAAGAUGCCACUCUUAUUUCCAGGUGA